CUCAUCUCUAGUUUUAGUGCCAACAAAUUGAAAAUUGAAAAUUGCAAUUUUUUAAAUGCAAAUAGAAAUCUUUAAUUAUGCGGGCAGGUGCCUGGUCGGUAAUUAACUGAGUUUGUUAAUUCCAUUUUGUUUGGAAUCAUUCAUAUUCUAAGUCCCACUCACAUUUGUUUAAUCUGUUGGUUUGAAUCUUCUCAUGUAGAAAAAAUAUCUUAUUUUUUUAAUUUAAAUGUAAUCUUUGUCGCUUUAUAUGCACUCACAUUUUCUACUUUGUUGAAUUUGCCAACUGAUAAUUUGAGUUUAAGGAGUGUUUGAUAGAGAACCUGCAUAUACCGAGAAGAAGCAUGGCCUUUCUAAUCAAUCAUAUAUUUAUAAGACUGCCAAACAAAACUAACAAUGUGAAAUUAAGGACUCAAAAGCAACUGUCUGCUGAUCUGAACUGGCAUGAAAUCUUGCAAGAGCUGAAUUAUCCUCCCCUGUUCUAAAGAAAAGAUUGAUGCAAUACAACAUUGGUACUAUGAGUCUGAGGUUAGUGGAAAGCAUGGUUCUUCCAAGCAACUCAUGAAGAUCACAAAUGAGCAACUCUAUUUUAUAUAUCAUCUUGGUUCCAAACCUAAUAGAAUAGG